CCUACGGGUGGCAGCAGUAGGGAAUCUUCCACAAUGGGCGAAAGCCUGAUGGAGCAACGCCGCGUGGGUGAUGAAGGUCUUCGGAUCGUAAACCUCUGUUGUCAGAGAAGAACGUGCGUGAUAGUAACUGUUAAUGUUUCGACGGUAUCUACCCAGAAAGCAACGGCUAACUACGUGCCAGCAGCCGCGGUAAUACGGAGGUGGCGAGCGUUAUCCGGAUUUAUUGGGCGUAAAGGGCACGCAGGCGGUCUUUUAAGUCUAAUGUGAAAGCCUUGGGCUUAACGGGAGUAGUGCAUUGGAAACUGGCAGACUUGAGUGCAGAAGAGGAGAGUGGAACUCCAGGUGUAGCGGUGAAAUGCGUAGAUAUAUGGAAGAACAUCAGUGGCGAAGGCGACUCUCUGGUCUGUAACUGACGCUGAGGUGCGAAAGCGUGGGUAGCAAACAGGAUUAGAUACCCGGGUAGUC
rnacentral:rRNA from 1 species